AUGAUCGACAUCAUGUUUGAAAGUGGAGCGGCUCCUGAGCUCAAGAAGAUUGCCUUGUCCUUGACCAACGAAAAGUCCCAGCUCGAUGGGGUUGGUGGCCUUAAAAAAUUGAAAGAGAUUGAAUUGAAGGGUGGAAAAUUCCUUCUUUCAUCAUUUCACAAUGCCAAUCAAAUUUCCAAGGUGACUCUUCGUGAUACUCAACUGAAGCAGGAAGAUAUACGGAUCCUUGCUAAGAAAAAAAAACCUACGCUGCCUAGAGCUCUCAGACUUGUCUUACGCCGAAAGCAAGCUAGCCUUCAACAAAGAUGA
rnacentral:rRNA from 1 species